AAAGUCGGUUUGACCAGGAACAUAAGACCACCCGCAACGCGGGAUGUUAGCUAUUUCUUAGCGCUAAUCCUUAAGCAAAUCAGGAUAAAAUACUAUUAUUAAAUUAGCUUUAGGUAAAAAAUAAUUUUUAGUUAAGGAUUUUUUGGCUUUGAUCCCAGAUGAGCUGGCAACAUCAUCUCCUUCCUCUGAUUCGUCUCUACGACCUCCCUCGGCGAGGAAAGCAAUCCCCGAAUUUCCCUUUUAUCAGCAGAACUGGUUCAUCGCUCUCCUCUUCCUGAUGGCUCUGGGAUUCUUCUGCCUCGCUCUCUUCCUUUAGCUGAGCCUUGAUCCCGAUUCCGGCUACACCUCCGCUUCCGCCGCACCUUCCGGUAAAGAAGGCGUCGAGAUAACUUAUGGGAGUGCGAUUAAGCUUAUGAAAUGAUGCUGUACAGAAGGCGUCGAGGUAUUGAUAACUUCAGUAAGAUGAGAGCUUAUUUGAAGCUGGGUGAUUCCAAAGGAGAUGAGGUUCCUGAAGAUACCAUCAAAGCUGUUGCUGAUACUCUUCGUACCUCUUCUGCUCUCAAGGUUUCUGAAGAUGGGAAGAAGGUUGGUAGGAGUACAAAGUUGUUGAAGCUUGAAGAUUUGAUUGAACAGCUUAACGCUAGAACUGUAGCUGCUUCACCGUUCUCGUACGAUGUUAAAAGGGAAGACGUGGAAGCCUUUUUCAGUCAGUACGGGAAGGUUAAUAGUGUGAGGAUGCCUCGUCAUGUAGCAGAGACGAGAGUGUUUUGUGGUGUUGCCUUGGUUGAGUUCCCUACUGAAGAGGAUGCUCAGAAUGUUAUGAAGCAAAGUUUGGUUUUUGCUGGGCUUGAGUUGGAAAUGAAACCAAAGAAAGAGUUUGAUGAUGAUAGGGAGAAAGAUGAAGAAAAGUUUGAUAACUACCGUCCUCAAAAGGCUUCUGCAAAUCAGAAAAACGGUUCUGAACAUAGGAACGGUUCUGAAUCCGAGGCAAAGGUUUGAAUCUGACCACAGUCACUUGCAUGCAUCCACUAUUUCAGGCAACUUAGAGGUUAGCUGCUUUGGAGAUGAUUCAAAUUCCGACACUGGGGAUCACUGGAAGUUUACAAUCGAAGGUAGUGGAAAGACAUGGAAACAAGACCAAAGAGUAAGGCUUCAACACAUUGACACUAGUGGCUACCUCCAUAGCCAUAAUACAAGAGUCAGGCUUCAACACAUUUAAUAUUUUUUAAUUCUUAAGGAUUCCAUAUUGGGUAACACCAUUGCACAUACAUUUUAGAGUAAAGUUCUUAACUAUUCAAAAAGAAAAAAAAAUUAUAUUAUAUUGUUAAGGACUCCAAUGGUGGGUAACACCAUUGGAGUUGCUCUAAACUCACUCACAAACGUGUCAGAUGAACAAGAGCUCAACAACAACAAAUUACGUGUGAACUUGAGAACAUAGCUUAGUAUGAUAUUGACAAAACUUACAGUAGAGACAAUGGAAUUAAAAGAGAAAAGGUAUACUAAGUUUGUAACCUCACGCUUCGGACACAAGCAACCCGAACUUCAAGUCUUUUUCAGGAAUUUCCAAUCCGCCACGCAAAACACACUCACUUUCGUCAUUUUCUGACUUGAACUAACCAAAUGAAUGUAACCUCUUAUUAAUCUACUAACAGCAUCUUCAGUUAAACACAAUCAAAU